UACGUAGGGUGCAAGCGUUGUCCGGAAUUAUUGGGCGUAAAGAGCUCGUAGGCGGUUUGUCGCGUCUGCUGUGAAAACUCAGGGCUUAACCCUGAGCCUGCAGUGGGUACGGGCAGACUAGAGUGUGGUAGGGGAGAUCGGAAUUCCUGGUGUAGCGGUGGAAUGCGCAGAUAUCAGGAGGAACACCGGUGGCGAAGGCGGCCAACUGGACGAACACUGACGCUGAGACACGAAAGCGUGGGGAGCAAACAGG
rnacentral:rRNA from 1 species